CUUGGGAAGGAGGUCUCUUUACUUUUUAUUUGAAAAGGAAUUGUUUUUGUUAUUUUCCUAAACCUGGAGAGUGACGGAAGCCAUCCUUGAGGAGUCAAGAUAAACUCUAGAUGUAAGCUGAAUGGUCACCAGGUCACGGAAUUCCACCGGGAAUGGGAAGAUCCUCUGGAGUAGCACGCAAAGUCCUGCUAUCUGCAUUCUGUGGUUGGAGUGAGUUGGGUCAGCCCACCAAUGUAUUUCCUCAUUAGACAUUGACAAACAUGGAAGAAAAACAGUGGAAGAAUUAGAAGAGAAUAUGGAAGCAGAAUGUGAUCUGGAGUCAUGUUUAGUGACCACAGCAGCUUUUGCAAAAUUAUGGAAUUUCUGAGUUCUAGAACCAUGUAGUCAUCAUUGAAGCAUGUAGAACACAACACUAGGAAAAAUGGAAAGGCUCCUUAUUGGAGGGAUGGGCUGAAGAACAAGGACGGUGUCAAGAUGGGCAUUUUUUCUGUGCAUAGCGAAUUGGGAGGCAAAGAAAACUGCUGAAAAAAAUUGACGAUGCACCUUAAGUUGAAAAGCUGACUUCCACCUCCUGGGCAACGUGGCUCGGGGUUGUGCUCAGCUAAGACAAAACUGAUGUCAACACCAGGAAUGAAGGACAAAUCUGUGGCUUA